rnacentral:rRNA from 1 species
AAAAGGUACACCUGUUUGAGUGUCAUG